rnacentral:rRNA from 1 species
UUUCGGUAGGGGGGGCCUGCGGAGGGAUCAUUACAGAGUUACUACUCCAAACCCAUUGUGAACCUUACCUAUGUUCUGUUGCCUCGGCGGCGUGGUCAGCGCCCCUCUGAAAAGAGGACGAUGCCCUCCCGCCGGCAGCACCAAACUCUUUGAAUUUUACAGCGGAUUACAGUUCUGAUUUGAAAACAAAAAAACAAGUUAAAACUUUCAACAACGGAUCUCUUGGUUCUGGCAUCGAUGAAGAACGCAGCGAAAUGCGAUAAGUAAUGUGAAUUGCAGAAUUCAGUGAAUCAUCGAAUCUUUGAACGCACAUUGCGCCCGGCAGUAAUCUGCCGGGCAUGCCUGUCCGAGCGUCAUUUCAACCCUCGAACCUCCGUUUCCUCAGGGAAGCUCAGGGUCGGUGUUGGGGCGCUACGGCGAGUCUUCGCGACCCUCCGUAGGCCCUGAAAUACAGUGGCGGUCCCGCCGCGGUUGCCUUCUGCGUAGUAAGUCUCUUUUGCAAGCUCGCAUUGGGUCCCGGCGGAGGCCUGCCGUCAAACCACCUAUAACUCCAGAUGGUUUGACCUCGGAUCAGGUAGGGUUACCCGCUGAACUUAAGCAUAUCAAUAAGACGGAGGAA